rnacentral:lncRNA from 1 species
UGCUACCAGAACUGACUCGCUUCGAAGUGACGGAUGAAACCCAUAUGGAGAUAUUCCUGGGGUGGUUAGGCCAGUUGGAAGACAGAGUGCUUACACCUGAGAGAGGACUUGAGAAUUUUACUCAGAGUCACGUUGCUCACUGCUGUGCACUCCUGCAGGCACAUCCCAGUGGACUCUGCGCUGCAUCCCCAAAGUACAGCGUGUUUCCCGCCUCCCAUUAGAGAUCCAAUACAUAUUUUUUUGAAAGAAGAAACUGAUGGAAGAGAGGAAGCAAAAAGGAGAGGAAGGAAAGGGAUAGGAAGGAGGGGAAGAAAGGGACAGGAAGGAGGAAAAGGAAAGGGAAAGGAAGGAAAAGAAAGGAAAGGGAACUUGAAAUCCUACAAGGUCUCAAAGUCAAAUAACAUGUAAGUCAAUUAUCACAGAAAAUAAAAUAACUGCUACAAGAGCAA